UACAGAGGUCUCAAGCGUUGUUCGGAUUCAUUGGGCGUAAAGGGUGCGUAGGUGGUGAUGCAAGUCUGGUGUGAAAUCUCGGAGCUCAACUCCGAAAUUGCACCGGAUAUUGCGUGACUCGAGGACUGUAGAGGAGAUCGGAAUUCACGGUGUAGCAGUGAAAUGCGUAGAUAUCGUGAGGAAGACCAGUUGCGAAGGCGGAUCUCUGGGCAGUUCCUGACACUGAGGCACGAAGGCCAGGGGAGCAAACGGG
rnacentral:rRNA from 1 species